CCUACGGGAGGCUGCAGUGGGGAAUAUUGGGCAAUGGGCGCAAGCCUGACCCAGCAACGCCGCGUGAAGGAAGAAGACUUUCUGGUUGUAAACUUCUUUUCUCAGGGACGAAGCAAGUGACGGUACCUGAGGAAUAAGCCACGGCUAACUACGUGCCAGCAGCCGCGGUAAUACGUAGGUGGCAAGCGUUAUCCGGAUUUACUGGGUGUAAGGGGCGUGUAGGCGGGAAAGCAAGUCAGAUGUGAAAACCAUGGGCUCAACCUGUGGCCUGCAUUUGAAACUGUUUUUCUUGAGUACUGGAGAGGCAGACGGAAUUCCUAGUGUAGCGGUGAAAUGCGUAGAUAUUAGGAGGAACACCAGUGGCGAAGGCGGUCUGCUGGACAGCAACUGACGCUGAGGCGCGAAAGCGUGGGGAGCAAACAGGAUUAGAUACCCGGGUAGUC
rnacentral:rRNA from 1 species